AUGCAUGUGCUUCCUCUUCAGGGGAAGGAAAUACUGCAAAAAAAAAGAAGCAUCUCAGAUGUGGGAUCUUUAAGACGUGUGUUCUGCCUGUUGAGCAGGUGCUUGGGGUUUGCUGGACCGAUGAAGUGUGGUCAGUUUCUGCAAGGGUCUGGACUUGUUUCCCGCAGCCCUGGCAGUGGCCGUGUGGUGGCUGAGCAGACAGAACCAACGCCCGUGGGUGUUUGGCCAGCUGGCCCUGGCCUCCCACUAGGCCGUCAAAGACGCCUUCUGGAACUGGCGGCCACCUUGGCCCACUCGUUAUCCAGCAGGAUAAUAAAUGCAGACAGCAGAGCAAGGCCAGAGUCAGGCCGCUGCUGCUCUUCAGUGAGAUCAGUGCUGCCCGGCAGGGGCCGCUAGCAAUGUUCUGACAAGUCCUGCAGACUCUGCCAAGACAGCAGGAGCCCAGGCCUCACGGAUCUCCAGGUGGAAAUCUGAAGCUGUGGGUAGAGGGGGUCCUGCUGUGGUGGGGGGGGAGCCACCUGCUCCUGGGGCACCCACAGCCCAGCCCCCCCAAAGGAAGAGGCUCUGAGAAGGCCCUUCUGCCUCCUGCCUUCCUUCCUCCUUCCACCUGGCUGCCCCCAUGCCUGGCCGUAGGCGCAGGGCCAGGGGCUGGCACACCACACCCACCAAUAGGCUUGGCAUGCAAUGCAGAUUCCUUACCUAAAACAAACCAACACUCACACCUUUAUAUCCAAACUCCAUUCAAUCCGACUACCUUUUUCCAUAUUGUCUUGUUGGCAAUUGUGUCUUUUUUUUUUUUUGGUCUAUUAAAACCAUCAUUUUUUCCUCACCCUCUAAGCUAAAUCAUUAUUUCAGUUCCUAACCUUUGCAAAUACUCUGCUUCCUGUACAAUAGGGAUCAUUGUGUGUCCUCAGCAGCAGCCUGGCAGAAACACGGAACCACACGCCUGUGUCAGCUUAGUGACUCAGCAAACGGAGAGGCUCUGCUUCCACCGGGGCCCCUCCAGCCGGCCCAUGGGUUGGGUGGUGCUUCCUGGCCCUGCGGCUGUACCCUGACCCUGUUGGGUGCCAUGGCCGCUGGUAGGGGUGGGCGGCCCGCUCUGACUUCAGACCGCAUCCAGAAGCGCCUGCUGCCAUGCAGCAUGGGAAGCCCCCCGCCCCUCGCCCUGUACUUGGUUAGAGAAAGAUCUGGAAGAUACGCAACUGGAAAACAAGGUGUCGCUGGUGGUGAGGAGUUGCUGGCAGGCGAGUACCAUGCCCAAGGCGGGGAGGAAGAGCGUCUAGACUGAAAGUAAACGCACUACCUAAAAGGCGAGAAUGAGUCGUAGCUGAUGGACAAAACUGAGGCCAAGCCCAGGACACAGCCUCUCAGGGGCCCUUAGGGAGGCUCCAAAGAG
rnacentral:lncRNA from 1 species